UACGAAGGGGGCUAGCGUUGCUCGGAAUCACUGGGCGUAAAGCGCACGUAGGCGGAUUGUUAAGUCGGGGGUGAAAUCCUGGAGCUCAACUCCAGAACUGCCUUCGAUACUGGCGAUCUUGAGUCCGGGAGAGGUGAGUGGAACUCCGAGUGUAGAGGUGAAAUUCGUAGAUAUUCGGAAGAACACCAGUGGCGAAGGCGGCUCUCUGGACCGAGACUGACGCUGAGGCGCGAAAGCGUGGGGAGCAAACAGG
rnacentral:rRNA from 1 species